GCUGGAUUAGCUCAGUUGGCAGAGCGGCUGUUUCGUACACAGCAGGCCGUCAGUUCGAUUCUGACAUCCAGCUCCA
rnacentral:tRNA from 1 species